GCAAAGACAGUCUUCAAAACGUCAAAACUGGUGACAAAGUUUGCCCGAAAAUAAAUAGGCACUUUAAUAAAACGAUGAUUUAAAUGAACAUACCAUUGGAAAAGUAAUAUUUCUGACAAUUAGUCGUAAACGAAUUCGAACACAUAUGUCGGCAUUCGAGCAUAGUGAUUGUUUUUGUAAAAAAUCACCAUGAACUUAAACAAAUUUGGUGUACACUGAUUACUUACUCCAUUAAUAUAUAUUAAUUGACAAUUAGUUAUUAUUAAGUUCACGAUAAUUUCCGAACUUGUGAAAUAAUCUCACAACAUUAGGAGCAAAUAUUUUGGAGACUUUGUAGACAGGUUAUACGAAUUUUGAAUGACUGUUAGAAAAAAAGCAAAACAUCAAGAUCAAGAUAAUCAACUGUUCAUUUAUGUUAUCUUAUUUAACAGCACUGUGUUUUGUUGUUAAUUUUUUUCUGAAAAUAUUAACUAAAAACGAAAAGGCACUUACAACAGCCUUUGCGAAUACAAUUAUGAAAAGAGUGUUAAAAAAUUAAAGCUGAUGAUUUUUUUAAAAACCACAACAUGAGCAAUGUCAUAGAAAGAUGCUUUCAUAGAACAUAACAUUGGAAACUUCAUAUUUCAGACAAUUAGUCGUAAACGCAUACGAACACAUAUAGCUGCAUUCGAGCUUACUGCUUAUUUUUUUAUAAAAAUUUAAUGAACCUGAAUAAAUGUAUUGCACACUGUUUUUUUGUACAUUGCUUACUUACUUCAUUAAUAAACAAUUAUUCACAAUUUUUUAUUAAUAAUUUCAGUGGAAUUUCCAAACUUGUAGAAUAAUCUCACAACAUUCGAAGCAAAUAUGUCGGCGACUUUUUAAAUAGGUUUACUCAAAUAACUGUUAGACAAAGACAAUAACAAUCCAAACCAAGGAGUCAACAAAGACUAAAAAAACAAAGGACAUUAACAUCAACAGUUAUAAAUGAUAAAUAAGAAACAACACGAACUCCACUAAAAACCGGGAGUGAAAUCAGGUGCUCCGGAAGGGUAAGCAUUUCCUGUACCGUAUACGGCACCCGUCAUGUUAUUCCUUUGUUCAGUUCGGUAAUGAUGGAAGGUUAUUAUGACUGAGGAAGAAUAUCAGAUAUGAUUUCUGACACACUUUUGUCAUAAUGGCCAAUCAGCUCAUGAUGGCGACCGUAACAUUUCUUGAGUGAUGACCUUAAUUUGAUUGAUUCAGAGUCCUGACUUAGCAUCUUUUGAGAAAGCAGUAUUCCUCGUUCAACAAAAUCAACGUACUUUGAACUAGCUCUAGAGCAACGUAUCAACUGAGACACAUAUACUCCAUAUGUUGGUGCCGCUGGGAUGUUGCCACACAGAAAUGGAAAGUUGACUUUAGGAAAAUUAAAAUCAUCGCAUCUGUCAUAAAUUUUGGUAUUCAACCUACCAUCAGUAGUUAUUUCGAGAAAAUCAAGCAAUAAAGCAAGACAUUCUCAUUGGGGUAUUAACUGUAUAUUUGUUCUACCUAAUAUGACGGCACGCUUGCAUCCAGGUUAAUUUUGCUAAUAAUAUUUACUAAGAAUUGUAGGCACACAAAACAGGCUUAUUUAAAGGAAAUUGCAAAUGAUAGGACGUUUUCAAUUUCAAGGACAGUCUUCAAAACGUCAAAGCUCGUGACAAAGUUUGACAAAAAUAGAUAAUCACUUUUUUUAUAAAACGGUGCUUAAAAUUAAUAUAACAAUGGUAAAGUAAUAUUUAAGACAAUUAGUCUUUAACGCAUUCGAACACAUAUAUAUGGUACGCCACAGCUGUCUUAUGUGGAACUCUGAUAUUACGUUAUGUUGUUCUAUUAUUAGUUGAUGAUAGUUUUUAUUUACAUUAUAUGGUUUUGGCAUAACUCAAUAUGGAAUAGUCAUUACACAAUGAUAUUUCGAUAUAACAUGAUAUGGUUUCGUAUUGACUUGAUAUAGUUUUGUCAAUACUUAACAUGCUUAAUAUGAAGACGAAACACGCGUCUGGCGUAUUAAAUAAAAACAAAUCUGUCCAUUAUUUUAUGACAGUUGCAGGUAUAAAUGUAGAUUUACAAGUGUGAAUUGUUAUAGCUAUAAGUUAAUGCAUGUAAAAAUAUAAGAUACAAAAAGGAAAUUGUUAAUGGGAAAGAGAACAAUGCGAUUAUUGAAUACCGUUUAAAUCUCGAUUAGAUAUAAUAUGAAAAGUCUUAAAACAGCAAUCUAUCAUAAAUUAAAAUCGCAAAAAUACUGAACCCUGAGGAAAACUCAAAACGGAAAGUCCAAACAGCAAAAAUAAAACCUUAAACACACCAAACGAACGGAUAACAACUGUCAUAUUCCUGACUUGGCACAGACAUUUUGUGUGUGUAGAUGAUGGUGUACUGAACCUGGGUUUAUAGCUUUUUAAACCUGUCACUUGUUCAACAGUCGCAUCAAAUUCCAAUAUACUGACAACGAUGCGCGAACAAAACAAAUUGAUUCGAUAGGCAAAAACGUCAAAAAUAUAGCUUUCGACAUUGUGUUAUAAUCUUAAUCACUAAAAACAAACACCAUACAAAUAUGUAAACGUUUUGCAAAAUUUGUUUGAUUUGAAAAAGUAAUUAAAAAAAUUAAAGUGUACUAUCUCUAUUUUGUCCGAAUUGCAAAUC
rnacentral:lncRNA from 1 species